UUCCACCACUUUCUUCUUCAAUAGAUGUGCUUGGUAAGGUAGUUCGCCAAUUUCUUACAGCCGAAACAAAUACUCGACCAAUUCUAAGAAAGGGACUCUUGUCAUUAUCCUUAAUGUUAAACCUAUAGGUCAUCGUUCCAAGCAUGAAAACAAUCAAACCAAUGAUCAUUACUACACAAGGGAUUCCGAAUCCAAUAACCCAACUAUAGUUAUCUUGUAUAUAGGUCAAGACUAAAAUUGUUGCCGAGCAAACUCCAACCAUUGUGAAAUACCACCAAUUAAAGAAUGAGCUUCUAGCUAUGAGCUCCUUAGGAUGUUUAUCGUCGAAUUGAUCUGCCCCGAAAGCUUGAACACAAGGUUUAUGUCCACUUUGUCCAAUGGCAACUAGAUAGAGUGAGAUGAAGAAUAAGAUUACUUGUGAAUGUUGGGAGCAGAAUAUGAAUGUACUGUCUACUUGACAUUUAGAUUUGAUGAGGGAAGGAAGCAUAGCUGAUAAUGUUAACAAGCUUAGUCCCUGUAAUUCAUAUUAAGCCAAUGACCAGCAUCAAAACAAUGAGCCAAUAGAACUAUGCAUCUGCAUCUCAGUCGUCCGAUCAAAGACCGGGUGAUCCUAAUUUUAGCCUCAACUUUUUAGAUUUAAAAAAAAAAUUAAAAUUUACUUUAAAAUAUAAACUGUUUUAUCCUGAUUGGACAGCUGAGAUGCAUUUGAUAGCAUGCAUCUAAUCCAAAAUUCGACAACUAUAGAGAAAAUGAACGUCAUUGGACAUCAUACUUACUACUAAUCAGAAAAAAAAAUACCAUAACAUGUUAAAUUAGAGAUUAAAAAUAGAAGAAAAAACAAAGUUAAAAAAAUCAAACAAUCUAACUAACCAAGAUAUAGAUGAGAGAAGCAAGUAUGAUGGUGCGGUAGCGUCCGAGAAAAGAAUCAGCAAUGAAAGCACCUAAGAUAGGAAGAAGAGAAGCAGUUCCAGCCCAAAUAUUCACAUUUUCAGCAGAUGUUGCAGUGCUCUGUUUGAGUGGUCCUGUUAGAUAUGAUAUCAAGUUCCCCUGAAUUCCAUAAUGUGACACCCUCUCUGCCACUUCCACAGCUAGACAUACAUAACAUUCAUAAAUUCUUAUUAAAUUUAAAUUUGUUUAAUUAUAAAAUUAUUUUUACCAAAAAAUAGAUUUUUUUUUUAAAACGCCAAAAGUUGAAGAUAAAAUUUGAACUAAAACCCAAAUUUUGACUAAACCUAUGUUUGGUAUCACGGUGGAUAUGUUAGAAUCAGAAUCACUGAUCCACCGUAAAAAAAAAAUAAAAAAUUAAGGUGGAUCACCGUGAUUCUGACAUACUCAUUGUGAUACCAAAUAUAGACUAAGGUUAGCUUCCACUAUCACUAUCAGUCUAAAGACCUUGUUCAGUGGCUUAUACAGUGGUCCUGAGUCCUGACCAACAAAUCUACACUUAACUCACCUUUUAUUUUUAUGAAUCAAACACUAUUUUUUACCAUAAUAUUCGUAAUAAGUUUCUACGGUCGUUAGCAAUGGCUAAUUUCUAUUAAGGAACUUGUGUGACACACAAGGUGGUUUCCCCCUUCUCAACCAAAUUUUCUCCGCACACAUGGCAGAAACCCCCUGAUCACAUGCUUAGGGGACCAAAAACCUUAUCACUUCGACCAAUUUAUUAUUGGUUUAUGAAUCAAACACUUAACUCAACUAAAUUAGUGUUAGUAAUUAAGUACAGUACCUAUGAUAAACCAAGCGGAUCUCCAAUAACCAGAUUUGGAUCUAACGGCAGGUUGUCCUGUGUAGUCAACGGCGCCGUCUACAAGAGCUAAUUCAGCUUCCAACAAAACGCUGUUGGAAUCCUCCAUCCAAAUGUUAUUCACUUCUUCUUCUUCUUCUGCUGCCAGUUCAUUAUAGAUGGGUUUGUUUGCAUUUGUACCUGAUUUUAUUUAUUUAUUUUGAACCAUGACACAUAUUGCUGUCUCUUUUUUUCUUUUGGUGAUUCUCCAUGAGAUUAAACUCUUUCUUUAUUGGAAGUAUGUUUUUGUUUUUAGAGUAAAACAUGGUGGAUAUUUUAGAGAACAAUGAGUAUGAAACAAGUAUUUUAUAUUUAUUUAUACACGCAACAAACGAGCAAUAAAUAAAUAGGAUUCGAAAUUAAUUAAUGUACCAGUGCCAUAUCUAUAAUUAAAUAUUCACGAAGAGAGUGUUCAAAUCAAAACCGUUUCAAAUAAAAAUUCUAAAUUGAUUGAAAAAAUUGAAAACUAUAAAAAAUUAAAUAUUUUUGGAUAUCCUCUUCAAGUAUAGGGUGGUCAUUGAGUACUUUUAGUAUAUGGUGUUAACAAAAACUGAAUUUUGGAAAAGAGCAGCGCUUCAAAACCGCCGCCAAAUACUGACCAAUUUUCCCCAUUUGCUUCACUCAUAAACCGCUGCAAAUAGCUACAAAACUGCCGGUGCCAGCGGUUGCCCUGAACUCCCACUGUAUGACCUACUGACACUUCUUUUUUCGACGGCAAACCAACCAACAUUUUGNNNNNNNNNNNAAACCGCCGCUGUGUGCCUGUUUCAACCGCCUCCACUUGCUGUUAUCUUGUAGUGCUCCCAACCAUGGUGACUAAACAACACUGGUGGGAUCGAUAUGACUAACAUGAGAGACAAUUUUUUUGUUCUGCUGACCAGCUCGCUAUGUGGAAUACAUAUUUCGUUCCCAGGUUAGUCGGCGAACGGUCUUUUCCUAGUUUUUGCUAUUUUAUACUCUCACUUCCUAAGUAGCAGGGGUAAAAUUGAAAGCUCGUGCAGCACGCGAGAAUGUCGGGGGCGUGAAAAGAAGAACUCAAAUUACUAAGGCGCGUGGUAUCGAGAAGGCAUCCCCACCAACAUGCUAUUAGGCCUUCUCCUUUUUCAUCAUACUACCAGACUCAAGAAGAAUAAAUGGGUUGUCACUAAAACAGGCCACCAAAAUAUAAUGUUUUCACGAAUUCACUUCGGAGAGUGUCAAAGAUUGUAUCAUGCCAUUAUCUAGCAUCUAGCUCUGCUGGCUAAAGGCUUGCGGGCAAAUGUUCAGAUUUAGGUCAAGACUUAAUCUUGCUUUGGACCACGUCACUAGUUAGUUCCUAGGUGAACCAUCUCAUGGACAUGCUUUAGAGGCACACAUGAGAAAGUCCGCGGAGACCACUCUUAACUAUUGGAUUUAAGUUUUAGGCAAUCCGACAACAUCUGUCUCACAUAAGGUUCUAGUUCCUCAUAACCCUAAUUCAACCCUAUAAAACUUAACUUAUGGUCUAGCCAUGGUACACACUAUUCUAAACCCUAUACCUCCCCCUCACAACACUUCCUUACUUUAUCGUUGCAGUAUUUUCAAAUACACCCCCGCCUCUGGGCUCGCUGAUAAAUGGUCCGCUAACAACAACCAUUGAAGUAACAUCACAUAUCAAAUCUCCCAGUUUGGAAGGAUCGAUAUAUUUAUUACCGUGUCGUCGAUAAUUGUUUUCGACCUUCCAAGUUUUCUAUUAAAAAAUAUAACUAAUAUAUUUUUUGUAAAUAUAAUUAAUUUAAAUAAAGAACUAAGAAAAAUACAUGAUAUUAUUACAAUUUUAUCAAAUAUAUACACAACUAAACCUUACUUUAUUAUCAUAUCAUGCUUGUCAAACUAUGACAUAAUAGAAAAACUUAUCAACAAUUAUGCUUGUGUGAUUAUACCUUUGUGAUUAUAAACAUAAGAUUUUGAAAAGUAAAUGAACAAAGUAAACCCCACCACACUUAAUCCAGUAAGUAGCCAAUAAAAGUAAUCAAGAUGUGCCUUAUUGAUAUUGUCACAAAACCAACUUUCAUGUCCAUCUUUGCCAGUAAUAUUUUCUAUCAUUGAAAUGAGAAAGCCACUUAGAAAGCUUCCAACACCAACAAUACUCAAGUAGAGUGCAAGUCCCAUGCUUCUUAGUUCAUUUGGGACCUGAUCAUAGAAAAACUCUUGAAGACCAACCAUAGUAAAAACCUCAGAAAUUCCAAACAAAAAGUAUUGAGGAACCAACCAACAUAUACUCAUUGGAACAAUUGCAUUAGGAUCAUCAACAAGUUCAUACUCUUGUGCUGUUUUUAGUCUUUUAAUCUCAACAAGGGCUGCAACUAUUACUGUGAAAAUGGAUAGAAAAAUUCCCGUACCGAUUCUUUGAAGCAUUGUGAUGCCUGAGGGUAUCCCAGUGAGAGAUCUUGCUACUGGCACGAAUAUGCGGUCGUAGACAGGACUGAUGAGAACAAUGGCGAGAUCAGUAAUCGUUUGAAGAGAAGCGGGAGGUAUGUCAAAACCAGGGAAUAUUGUUCUCUCCAUAGAUUUUCCUUGUUUGGUGAAGAAUGUAAAAACUUGAGCAAAGACAAUACCAUAAACCAAACAUGUAGCCCAAAUUGGAAUUAACCUUAAUAUUGCCUUUGCUUCUUCGACUUCAUUAAGGGUACAAGUCUCAUCUUCUUCGGAUCCCUCUGGUGCUAGCAAUGCCUUGUUGAGGAAACUGCCAAUACAGGAAAUACAAGCCAAGUCAAAAUAGUCAUAAUCUUUCGGGUUCCAGGGCUUUUGUUAGAAUUAGUUGGAGUUGGUUAUAGGUUGUUAAUCUUUGUUAUGUUAGUUAUGACCACUAUCUAAAGUGUGUCCAACACUUAUUGUAACCAAGUUUUCUCAAUGACUUUUUCUAGGAUGAACCGUUAAACUUGUAGCUUGCAGCACAAGUUACUUGGGUAACAAGAAACUUGUGUAUUCGUUUUACUUUUAGUAUAUUGUAACUAUGGUGUGCUAUAUGUAGGUUACAUUAUGCCAACUGUUAGGUUGUUAGAAUAAUAACCUCCUAUAUAUAGCUUGUUGUCACACUAUCACAUUCACUCUUUCAAUAAUCAAAAAGGGAUUAUGCUUAACUUUCCUUACAAUUUUCCCUCAAUUUCUCUUCCUUUUUUCAUCAUGUUGCACAACUUCACGAUGAACCAUUAAUUAUGAACUAUAAUUGCAUAUGAACCAAUACAUUAAACACUAAAUGUCGAAGCUUCCAAAAAUACUGCUUCAGGGAGGUAAAUUUGUUUGAAUCAUGGUGAAAUGAUUCAAAAACAAACAAGCCCAAAAUGUUCUUCAAAAACAUAAUUACGAUUCCACAUAUCUUUGAACGGCAUGGACAAACUAAUGACAAACACAAUAAUAUGGGAAUUAAGUUCAAUGCUACAAUAUACUAUUUCAUAAUAUCAUGCAUUUCAUAAAACUAAAAGAGGAACUUCAUAAAACUCAAAAGACAGACUCAAGACGAGUCCUAUAAUGCAUUUCAUCAUUCUUGUUGCUUUAAUACCACAACUAUUAAGAUUAAACUUACUAGACAUGGAAUUGAAAGAAGAAAAAAGAUCAGCAUUGUAUUUCUUACUUGAAUUGUUUAGAACCUUGACAGAGAACUAUUCCACCACUUUCCUCUUCAAUUGAUGGGCUUGAUAAGGUGUUUCUCCUAUUUUUUACAGCAGCGACAAAUACACGACCAAUCCUAAGAAAGGGACUCUUGUCAUUAACCUUAAUGUUAAACCUAUAGGUCAUUGUUCCAAGCAAGAAAACAAUCAAACCAAUGAUCAUUACAACACAAGGGAUUCCAAAUCCAAGAACCCAACUAUAGUUAUCUUGAAUAUAGGUCAAGACUAAAAUUGUUGCCGAGCAAACUGCAACCAUUGUAAAAUACCACCAAUUAAAGAAUGAGCCUCUAGCUAUGAGCUCCUUAGGAUGUUUAUCGUCGAAUUGAUCUGCCCCGAAAGCUUGAACACAAGGUUUAUGUCCACUUUGUCCAAUGGCAACUAGAUAGAGUGAGAUGAAGAAUAAGAUUACUUGUGAAUGUGGGGAACAGAAUAUGAAUGUAC
rnacentral:lncRNA from 1 species